GUGCUUAUUUCAGCAGCUCAUAUACUAAAAUUGGAACAAUAUAGAGAUUAGCCUAACCUCUGCUCAGGGAUGGCACACAAAUUUUUGAAGCAUUCCAUAGUUCC